rnacentral:rRNA from 1 species
CGGCGGACGGGUGAGUAACGCGUGGGUAACCUACCCUGUACACACGGAUAACAUACCGAAAGGUAUGCUAAUACGGGAUAAUAUAUUUCCGAGAGGCAUCUCUUGAAUAUCAAAGGUGAGCCAGUACAGGAUGGACCCGCGUCUGAUUAGCCAGUUGGUAAGGUAACGGCUUACCAAGGCGACGAUCAGUAGCCGACCUGAGAGGGUGAUCGGCCACAUUGGAACUGAGACACGGUCCAA